rnacentral:lncRNA from 1 species
GAUAAAGUCUUACUAAGUUGCUUAAGCUGGCCUUGAACUCCUGGGCUCAAGCAGUCCGCCUGCCUUGGCCUCCCAAAGUGCUGGGAUUCCAGGCGUGAGCCACUGUGCAUGGCCCUUCCUUUGUAGUUUGCACCUGUUAUUACAUGUUUCUCCAGUUACUUUAACUAUUCCACUGGCCCCUGAGCAUCUUGAGGGUAGGGAUUAUGGAUUAUUCAUGUCUAUAUCCCUAAAUGUAUCACACGGUAGGUGCUCUACAAACAUUUGUAGAGUUGAAUCAAAUGGAACAUGUGAGGUGUACACUUGUGCAAACAGAUUGAGCUUCUUUUCUGAUAAUUUCAUUUUGGUGUAAGUUUGCUUUCAGUUUAAGUAGUCAAAACAUUUGGAUAGCUAUUCUUUUUUUUUGGAUAAGUAUUCUUGAGUGGACUAAAAAUAGAUUUUAAUUGAUUUCUAGUGCCGAUGCUGCAAAACUGGAAAUCUAAAAGAUUUUAUCCUUUUAUUAGAGUCUGAAGAAGAAAAAGAACAAGGGAGUGGAAAUGCUUUUAACAUUUUAUCUGCCCCCUUUCCUGUGCCUUUUUUUUUUUUUUUUUUUUUGAGAUGGAGUCUUUGUCACCCAGGCUGGAGUGCAAUGGCGUGAUCUCGGAUCACUGCAACCUCCGCCUCCCAGGUUCAAGCGAUUCUCCUGCCUUCCUGUGCCUAAGGUUAACACAGCGCCUUAAGAGGCUAACACAGAAGGGCAAAGUAAGUCUCCAUAAAACCCAGAGAAGACUGUGAACCCCUCUCUGGAUCCUGUCUGGAGUCACAGCUGGAAAACAAAAACACAUUUAUCUGGUAGGAAUAAAGAAAUUUAGAAGAAGCAGAAAAGGAAAAAUGAUUUUCAGAUCUAGUUUUUUGUUCUUCCAAAAGGAGGAAUUUAAACAUGAGGGAGACUAAUUUAUUUCCCCUUUUUACUUUGGGUUUCAUAACUCAACAAUCUUCCCUGAGGCCCCAGGUGAGAACAGUGAGUUAGCUAUGAAGGCAGAAAUAAGUAACUAAAGAUCUUAGGUGGUUAAUAUUAACUGCCUUUUCUUUCGUGAAUAAACCAUAUCACCUGGGAUUAAUGGGUGAAACGCAGAGAACUAUUAACUAAACCAGGGAUUGGCAAACUUUUUCUGUAAGGGCCAGAUGGUGACUAUUUCUCAGCCAUAGUGAUGCAAAAUCAGCCAGAGAAACAUGCAAACAAACGGGCGGGUAGCUGUGUUGCAAUAAAACUUUAUUUACAGCAACAGUUGGAAGUUAAAUUUGGCUUGGUGGCUACAGAUUGCUGACCCCUGAAUGCAACACUCCAUUUUCAGGUCUAAGUAUUCCCAUUCUCUUAAACACACCAUCCUAGCUCAGGAUGCUCUAACAGAAUACCACAGACUGGAUGGCUGAAAGAAUAAAUGUUUCUUUCUCACAGUUCCGGAGGCUGGGAACUCCAAGAUCAAGGCGCCAAUAGAUCCAGUGUCCUGCGAGGGCUGUCUUCCUGGUUUGCAGACAGCCUUCUUGCUGUGUGCUCGCAUGAUGCAGAGAGAAGAAAGGGGCAAGCUCUCGGGUCUCUUCUUAUAUGGACACUAAUCCCAGUCACUUGGGCUCCACCUCAUGACCUAAUUACUUCCCAAGGACCCCACCUCCUAAUGCCAACACACUGGGGGUUAGGAUUUCAACCUGUGAAUUUUGGAGGAACACAAACCUUUGGUCUGUAACACACAGCAUGCUUAU